rnacentral:rRNA from 1 species
UGGGGAAUAUUGCACAAUGGGCGGAAGCCUGAUGCAGCGACGCCGCGUGCGGGAUGACGGCCUUCGGGUUGUAAACCGCUUUCAGUAGGGACGAAGCUUUUGUGACGGUACCUACAGAAGAAGCACCGGCUAACUACGUGCCAGCAGCCGCGGUAAUACGUAGGGUGCGAGCGUUGUCCGGAAUUAUUGGGCGUAAAGAGCUUGUAGGCGGUUUGUCGCGUCUGCUGUGAAAGCCCGGGGCUUAACCCUGGGUCUGCAGUGGGUACGGGCAGGCUAGAGUGUGGUAGGGGAGACUGGAAUUCCUGGUGUAGCGGUGGAAUGCGCAGAUAUCAGGAGGAACACCGAUGGCGAAGGCAGGUCUCUGGGCCAUUACUGACGCUGAGAAGCGAAAGCGUGGGGAGCGAACAGG